AGUGGCGAACGGGUGAGUAAUACAUCGGAACAUGUCCUGUAGUGGGGGAUAGCCCGGCGAAAGCCGGAUUAAUACCGCAUACGAUCUGAGGAUGAAAGCGGGGGACCUUCGGGCCUCGCGCUAUAGGGUUGGCCGAUGGCUGAUUAGCUAGUUGGUGGGGUAAAGGCCUACCAAGGCGACGAUCAGUAGCUGGUCUGAGAGGACGACCAGCCACACUGGGACUGAGACACGGCCCAGACUCCUACGGGAGGCAGCAGUGGGGAAUUUUGGACAAUGGGCGAAAGCCUGAUCCAGCAAUGCCGCGUGUGUGAAGAAGGCCUUCGGGUUGUAAAGCACUUUUGUCCGGAAAGAAAUCCUUGGUUCUAAUAUAGCCGGGGGAUGACGGUACCGGAAGAAUAAGCACCGGCUAACUACGUGCCAGCAGCCGCGGUAAUACGUAGGGUGCAAGCGUUAAUCGGAAUUACUGGGCGUAAAGCGUGCGCAGGCGGUUUGCUAAGACCGAUGUGAAAUCCCCGGGCUCAACCUGGGAACUGCAUUGGUGACUGGCAGGCUAGAGUAUGGCAGAGGGGGGUAGAAUUCCACGUGUAGCAGUGAAAUGCGUAGAGAUGUGGAGGAAUACCGAUGGCGAANGCAGCCCCCUGGGCCAAUACUGACGCUCAUGCACGAAAGCGUGGGGAGCAAACAGGAUUAGAUACCCUGNUAGUCCACGCCCUAAACGAUGUCAACUAGUUGUUGGGGAUUCAUUUCCUUAGUAACGUANCUAACGCGUGAAGUUGACCGCCUGGGGAGUACGGUCGCAAGAUUAAAACUCAAAGGAAUUGACGGGGACCCGCACAAGCGGUGG
rnacentral:rRNA from 1 species